rnacentral:rRNA from 1 species
GACGAACGCUGGCGGCGUGCCUAAUACAUGCAAGUCGAGCGGAGAGGCCCGGUACUUGUACCGACUGGAUGAGCAGCGAACGGGUGAGUAACGCGUGGGAAAUCUCCCUGUCAGCGGGGGACAACAUGGGGAAACGAGUGCUAAUACCGUAUAAAAUCUUUAAACACAAGGGUGAAGGGUGAAAGACGGAAUUGCGGUGCUCAAGGAUGGCCUCGCGUUGUAUUAGCUUGUUGGUGAGGUAGUGGGUCACCAAGGGGUUGACGGUUAGCCGGCCUGGGAGGGUGACCGGCCACAUUGGGACUGAGAGACGGCCCAGACUCCUACGGGAGGCAGCGGUGGGGAAUAUUGCGCAAUGGGCGGAAGCCUGAUGCAGCGACGCCGCGUGCUGGAUGACGGCCUUCGGGUUGUAAACCGCUUUCGCCUGGGACGAAGCGUGAGUGACGGUAAUGGGUAAGAAAGCACCGGCUAACUACGUG